CAGCUGUUUUGUCACAUGGGUUUGUAUCUGUGCUAAUGCGUCAUGUGGACUCUGACGGUUAUAAUUUAAAUAGGCUUUUAAUUGUUAAGAGCUCCAAUUUAACGAAUCUAAUAUUUAAAUAUGAGAUUCAUAACUGUUGAUUAAUUGAAAGUACAAUAACAGCACAGCUGUUUAGCUGAUGAUUUGGUUUGAGUCCACGACAAAGCGAAAUCUGGUAUUUCAGAAAUACUGCAUUUCUCAAUGUUCACUUUGUGGUUUCAUUCUAUUUAUUAUUUAGUUAUAUUAUUUGUGGCAAGUUAGUAACAAUUUAUUAAAUUACUUUAAAUACGGAAGCUAAAUUUAUACAUAAAGCAGUAAAUAGAACACAGAAAUUAAGGCAAAUCACGUCAAUCGAGUUUUCCCCACAUGGCUUUCUGUCUGACAUUUUCCAGUAUUUUUUUGUAGUAUAUUCAGCAACGCGUUAUGGCAAUUUUAGUGCGGGUUCAGAGGUAUAUUUUAACGACGCGCCACGGUCACGCUGCUCAAAGUGAAACGGCCAAACGAAGAAGACGUAUCGUGUGUGCUCAGACUUGUGCUCUCAGAAUUUUGGUCAUCUACAUUCACCUCUCUGUUUGGAGUAAAACGAAAAAGAACAAACCACAAGUAAAUAACUUAAGGAAAUAUCAAAUACAAAGUGUACAAAAGCGGUUAAAAAAAAUUCUGAAUCUAAAAUAACAACAAGCAACAAAAACCAGCAAAGAGAGCAGCAUAAAGUUAACAGCGAAUUCAGCGGCAGUAGCAGAGCAGCGGAGCGCAAGUGCAAGCGAGACGGCAGCAAAGCUCCGCUGCAAGGCAACGGGAAAGAAAGGGACAGCGCAGACCAACGAAGAGAGCAGGGGCAAAAGUGAGAUUCGGAGAGCAAACAGCAGCGGCGGCGGCGACAGCAACAAAGCCACAUACGAGAGCUACAGCUGGGGAGAGAACUACGACGACCUACUACACAUAAAAAGCUUUGUAGCUCACUUUCAUUGAAACCACAAAGAAAUAUUGAGAGAGUGUGACGACUUAACAGUAACGAAGGCUGUUAAUAACAUUGCAGCGGUGCGUAAAAAAUCCAAUAAACAAUAACCAAAAAACGAGAGUUGCUAAAAACCAAACAAUGUCUGCAUUUUUCAAUACUUUCGAGUGUGUUUUGUGGGCGGGCUGACGUCACGAGGGGCUGCUGCUUAUUCUCUUAGUUACUUUUGAUGGGCUAAAGCUGUGAAAGAAAAUCAUAGUAAAAUCGUUUUUUCGCAAGCAUUUAUGUAAAUAUAUUCAUAUAUAUUUAUUACAACACUGCACGAAAUCAACGGUUUACAGCGGGAUCGCUUUUCAUAUUUCCCCACUGUGUCCCUCUUUCGGCUGCCCUGACGGUAAAUUUUCCUUUGUCCUUUGGCAUUACAAUUCGCCAUUCGGCAUUAACAUGCUGUUAGAAAGUGCUAACAGCAAUGAAGCGACAGGGACAGUCAGAGAGUGGGCGCAAAAGAGGGAGCGAGUCAGCGGCUGAGUGUUCAAGUAAAUCGUAAAAUAUUUUUAUAACAAAUACCACUGCUUCGGACCGCGCUGGCGGCAGACUGAACCGCGUUGUCACACAUUCAAAAUUUCAACGAACUUCGCUUUGCUGCCGACGUCGACGUCUCCAUGCUAAACUAAAUAAAGCGAGUUGAUUUCGAAUUCGCCGCGCGCUCAGUUGUCGCUUUGUCGCCCGUCCGUUAGCUCUUGCUCUCAUUUGGGGGAAUAUUUUCAAUGAUUUUUCUUUGAAAAGAAGUUUCUAGCAGUUGUAGUUGUAGUCACCCGUAGGCUUAGAUUGUAUUUUUUUUAUUUCGCUCCUCGUUCGUAAAUGUUAGUCCAUUAGAUAUUUUAUCAUUUUAUUGGGGCCUUAAUCUGUUGGAAUUCGCAUAUGUAUUUAAGCAUUUUUUCAUUUAUAGUUUUACAAAAAUUGUGGUUUUUGCUGAACUUACCAUUGCGAUUAUGACAGGUUUCUAGAAUAUUAAACUUUCGGUGGUUUUUAUACGAUUUCUUCAAGAUAUCCAACAAUUUACAUACAUAUGAAUGUAUUUACUAUCGGUUAUUUUUGUAAAAGCAAAAUUUAUGUGAUAUUUUUAAUACCGACAUAUGUAUGAAUGUCAAUAUUCACAACUGUAUUUGUUUAAAAAUGAACGAUGAAAUGAAAAAGUUGCAAUAAUUGUUAUUGAAAGGGUAUAAACUAGAAUGAUCAAAUGAAAUGGAAUUAUUUAAAUUUAUAUACAUAUGUACAUACAUACAAUGAAGAUAAAUUGUACGUAUUCAUUUAAUUCCCUUUUUCAGAACUUCUUAUUACAAUUAAACAUUUUUAGAUCACAAUGGUGAUUCUGUUAUUCGUUUUCCCCACUAUCUUAUCUUUGUUUAUUGGAUUUUUUCACAUGUUUGUGGGGUCAAAAUGACUGUAUUUUUCAAUGCUUAAUUUGCUUCCGUUUUAGACGUGCUCGCUCACGCACACUUUUAUGCUUUUUGUGAGUGCGAGAUUGUGUGUGUGUGUGUGUGUAUGUAUGUAAAUGCCUUAUACUUGUGUCAAUUUUCCUAGUGAUGUAAUAGAUUUUUUUUAGGUGCGGCUUCUUUUUCCGCCUUCGUUCGCUCUGCCAUAUUCCUCACUUUUCAUGCUCUUUAUUAUUAUAUUUUUUUUAGCUUGCCAACGAGGUCAGACUGGCAAUCAUACACAUGCACGUGCAUUAUGAGCGCACAUACAUACAUAUCUACACACGUACACAAAUACACACACACAAUCCUAAAUAAAUCGCAGUUUGCAGUUCUCCUCUGCCCCUCUUUCUCUCUUGUUGACCGUGCUUCGCAUCGUCUCCCUUUUAGAUGUACAUUGUAUAUACAUAUGUACAUACUUGUGUACGUUUGUGUGUAAGCCCUACCUGUCAACGAUCGUUGUUUUUGUUACUGUUAAAUGCAUCUGUUACACUCUUUUUCUUUAAAACGUUACUUCCGGCUUGAUCUGCUCUUCUCUCUCUCCUCUUUUUUCUCUCCCUCGACACUUUCUGCAUAAAUCAGAUGCCCGCAUUUUGUUGUUAUCGCUAAAUUCUAUGGCAUUUUCAUCUGUAUGUGUGUGUUGAUUUGAGUAUAAAUAUAUGUGUGUAGUACAUACAUAACUGUUUGUAGUAUUACUAAGCCUUGUUUUGUUUUCACGCCCUUUUUUUUAUUAAAUUAUCUGAAGAAUGUGCGGCGAUCCGAAGACUUUGAUGCCGUUACCCCUAUAAACGAUAGUUAUAUGUACAUACAUAUGUACAUAACGUACAUCAUGUCAUCUUUGGCCUGAUUUGAACCCAUUUUAAUCCAUACAUUUUAAAGCUGUUCUAAAACCACACUGUAAAGAGCAAGAAUACUCUUUCUUUGUCCGAGGUCGGUUUUUUAAUGUAGAGCAGAAAACAUGGCUUUUCCUUUUUCCCCUUUAUUUUUCAGCCAAUAAUAAUACGCAAAUGAUUGAGGUAACUUUGUUAGUGCUUGCUUCCUUUGUCUUUAAAUUAAGCCCAUUAAAAUUAAUUAAGAUAUUGACCCACUUCGCGCUGGCAGCCGUCGGAAAAAUGCACAACACAAAUACACACACAUGUGUGUAUGUACGUAAAAAAAAUUUUUUUGU